rnacentral:rRNA from 1 species
GAUGAACGCUGGCGGCGUGCCUAAUACAUGCAAGUCGAGCGAAUAGACGAGGAGCUUGCUCCUCUGACGUUAGCGGCGGACGGGUGAGUAACACGUUUAUAACCUACCUAUAAGACUGGGAUAACUUCUUGAAACCGGAGCUAAUACCGGAUAAUAUAUUGAACCGCAUUGUUCAAUAGUGAAAGACGGUUUUGCUGUCACUUUUAGAUGGAUCCGCGCCGCAUUAGCUAGUUGGUAAGGUAACGGCUUACCAAGGCUAGGCGGCGUAGCCGACCUGAGAGGGUGGUCGGCCACACUGGAACUGAGCCACGGUCCAGACUACUACGGGAGGCAGCAGUAGGGAAUCUUACGCAAUGGGCGGAAGCGUAACGGAACAAAGCCGCGUGAGUGAUGAAAAUCUUCGGAUCUUAAAACUCUGUUAUUAGGGAAGAAGAAAAGUGUAAGUAACUAUGAACGUCUUGACGGUACCUAAUCAGAAAGCCACGGCUAACUACGUG